UACGAGGGGGGCCAGCGUUGUUCGGAAUUAUUGGGCGUAAAGGGUGCGUAGGCUGUGCGGUAAGUCACCUGUGAAAUCUCCGCGCUCAACUCGGAGCCUGCAGGCGAAACUGCCGUGCUGGAGUAUGGGAGAGGUGCGUGGAAUGCCCGGUGUAGCGGUGAAAUGCGUAGAUAUCGGGAGGAAAAACUGUGGCGAAAGCGGCGCACUGGACCAUUACUGACGCUGAUGCACGAAAGCUAGGGGAGCAAACAGG
rnacentral:rRNA from 1 species